rnacentral:lncRNA from 1 species
CCUUGGAAUGAUGGUAUCUUCAUUUUGAUGUUUCCUAGGCUUCUAUCAGUCCCAUCUUGCCGUCUUGGAGCUCUUUAGAAACCUCUACCACGCCUUUCGCCCCUUGGCGCAAACCUGCCCUCAUGGUUCAAUGAAGCUCGAUCCUCUUCAUCUUCAAACUCCUCCUCAUGGUAGUCAUCAGAAUCAUCAAUGCGCGCACGCCUUCCUUGCCUUCUAGCAUUAGGGGUUCUUUGGGUACGCUCCUCUCACAAAUAAGCAAUAACAGUGUCUUGCCUACCCAUCCGAUCCCGAAUAUCAUU